GUGUACCUUAUGAUUUUGAUAUUGCAUGCGUACCCAUAUAUUUGCUGAAGCAUAUAUUUAGCCUAUGUCUGAAUAUUUUUUUUGAUUUCUACAAUUAAAAACAUACAAAUUUAAAAUCUUGGAAAUGCCUCCUGAGACUUGAAUCUCAAACCUUUGACAGAUCGAAUGUACGAAAACUACAAGCAUCCACUUGCACCACUACUUUCAUUUGAUGACCAAAUAAAGCUACCAUCUUUAAUUAUUCUAAAUAAAGAGAGAGAAGGGGAUGCUUCCCUAGACAACCGUGACAAAUUUUUGAUUCCAUUCUUUAACAAAGAUGUUGGUAGGACAUAAAAUAUAAUGUAAUUACCACCUUGAACAGCCUUAUUC
rnacentral:lncRNA from 1 species